CACAGUUCGAGCUUGAAUUGCGUUUCGUAGGUUACGUCUACGUUAAAACGUUACAGUUAAAUAUAACUGCUAAAAACGAAAACAACUCUUACGCUUUAGCUGCCUAAAAACAGUUAGCGUAGAUCCUCUCGGCAUCGCCCAUGUGCUCGAGUAAGGGUCUCAAAUUUAGUGGGAUACGUUAAACUUUUCCGUCUGUAAAGUUUAAAAGAGAUCAUCAGACUAGCAAUACAGAAUGCCUGUCACUCGGCAAGCUGUAAAGCGAAACCUCAAAUGAGUUGACUAUGAACGUAGAUUUUUAAGUGUCGAUGUG
rnacentral:tmRNA from 1 species